UACGUAGGGUGCAAGCGUUGUCCGGAAUUAUUGGGCGUAAAGAGCUCGUAGGCGGUUCGUCGCGUCGGCUGUGAAAACCUGAGGCUCAACCUCAGGCCUGCAGUCGAUACGGGCGGACUUGAGUACUGCAGGGGAGACUGGAAUUCCUGGUGUAGCGGUGAAAUGCGCAGAUAUCAGGAGGAACGACCGGUGGCGAAGGCGGGUCUCUGGGCAGUAACUGACGCUGAGGAGCGAAAGCGUGGGGAGCGAACAGG
rnacentral:rRNA from 1 species